UAGCAUGAUGCUUCUUUUCAUAUAUAUACGCUGGAAAUUACCGACCGAGACCUUCGGGUCGUGGACGAUAUCAUAUGGCUAUUUCUGAUC
rnacentral:snoRNA from 1 species